rnacentral:rRNA from 1 species
UACGAAGGGGGCUAGCGUUGUUCGGAAUUACUGGGCGUAAAGGGCGCGUAGGCGGUGUGUCAAGUCAGGCGUGAAAGCCCCGGGCUCAACCUGGGGAGGGUCACGCGAUACUGCUCGACUUGAAGGCAGGAGAGGGAAGUGGAAUUCCCGGUGUAGUGGUGAAAUGCGUAGAUAUCGGGAGGAACACCAGUGGCGAAGGCGACUUCCUGGCCUGUUCUUGACGCUGAGGCGCGAAAGCUAGGGUAGCAAACGGG